GUGGUAACCUGGGAGAAGAAAGAAGGCCCAGUUGCAUAUGGUGGUAUAAGAGUGAAAAGACAAUUCAAUUAUGUAUGGUGGUAACCGUCGAAAAGAUAUUUCAGCUACAUAUGUUGGUAACCUGGGAGAAGAAAGAAGGCCCAGUUGCAUAUGGUGGUAAAGAGUGAAAAGACAAUUCAAUUAUGUAUGGUGGUAACCGUCGAAAAGAUAUUUCAGCUACAUAUGGUGGUAACCUGGGAGAAGAAAGAAGGCCCAGUUGCAUAUGGUGGUAAAGAGUGAAAAGACAAUUCAAGUAUGUAUGGUGGUAAUGGUAACCAGUGGAAAGGUAUUUUAUUUAUGUAUGGUAGUAGCAAGUGACAAUGUAUUUCAGUUAUGUAGACGGAGAACUAGUGAAAAGAUAGUUCAGCUAUAUAUGGUGGUAAGCGGAGAGAGGAUGCUGCAGUUAUGUAUGGUGGUAGCAAGUGACAAAUUGUGUACAUGGGUGAGCAAUGAAGAAGACAGUUCAGCUACAUAUGGUGGUAAGCAGAGUGAAGAUAUUGCAGUUAUGUGUGGUGGAAGCAUGGUUGUAAGCAGAGAGUUAUGUAUGGUGGUAGCAAGUGACAAUUAUUUACAUGGGUAAGCAAA
rnacentral:lncRNA from 1 species